UGGCGGACGGGUGAGUAACGCGUGGGUAACCUGCCGUAUGCAGGGGGAUAACACUUAGAAAUAGGUGCUAACACCGCAUAAGCGCACGAGGGCGCAUGCUUUUGUGUGAAAAACUCCGGUGGCAUACGAUGGACCCGCGUCUGAUUAGCCAGUUGGCAGGGUAACGGCCUACCAAAGCGACGAUCAGUAGCCGGCCUGAGAGGGCGGACGGCCACAUUGGGACUGAGACACGGCCCAAACUCCUACGGAAGGCAGCAG
rnacentral:rRNA from 1 species